AGGGAAAAUUAAAAGCCGUUCAUUUGGGCUUGCAGGCUCAGAAGCAUUGCUAGCUUCGUUUUGCACUCUAUCUACAAUGUCCUGUUGAAGGGGUCAACAAGUACCGAGGAGGGUGCAGAGAGGCUGAAGCUGGCGUCACCUUCUGUUGCUAAGGUAACGUUCUCUGGCCAUUUUAUCUGAAAAAGGAAGUCCAGUGGAUGGUAUGCAUUAUUCAUCACUGUUCUAAUCAAACAAUCAAAAUUGUUUACUGUCACUGGGAUUAUUUAUUGAGAUCACAGAUACUCCGGCUAGAACUGCUCUUGUUUUACUGCCGACACUUAGCCCUUGAUUUUUUUGCAGAGUCCAAGUGAACAUUUUCUCUCAUAACUCUGUGUUUGGAACAUCAAGGAUGGAUUAUCCCAAAAUGGAUUAUUUUCUGGAUGUCGAGUCUGCUCAUAGACUCUUGGAUGUUGAAUCAGCGCAAAGAUUCUUCUACAGUCAAGGGGCUCAAG